rnacentral:lncRNA from 1 species
UCUUCUUGUGUUCUCAGUGCCAUAUUCUUCCUGUUCUUUGGAAGGGUGUCCUCAAGCUCUUCAUGAGCUUUACAUGUCAUUUCAUAGGUCAUUAGUGACCCAAUUAGUUCUUCAAGAGGAAAAUUAUUUAGAUCUUUGGCCUCUUGAAUGGUCGUUACUUUAGGAUCCCAACUUUUUGGAAGGGAUCUUAAAAUCUUAUUAA